GAUUUCAAACUAAGCCAUAUUCUUCUGAUUUCUUCAGCUUAAUUAAGAAAUCAUUAUUUUAGGGUAUUCAUUUGAUGCAAUUCAUCUACUCUAAUAGUCACUCUGAUUCUGACUGAACGAUAAGGGUAUUCAUUUGAUGCAAUUCAUCUACUCUAAUAGUCACUCUGAUUCUGACUGAACGAUAAGAAAGCUAACACAUAUAAUAUCACCGCCAUGGAUAUGAACAUCGUUCAACUUUUCAUCAGGUUUUGUGUGUGUUAUGCAUAUCAUCGUUCUGUUCUCAAUCUCACAAAGCCAAAAAGAGAAGAACUGAUCUCCUUGUUAGAGGAAUGUUUUGUGAUGGCUCUUUUUGUACAUGAUACCAGGAUGAUUGUUCUCGUUUAUUUUGCACUUGGUGAUUUAUAUCAUCUCGUCCAUCAAUCAGCUAAAGCAAUCGAUUAUUUCCAGGAUGUUCUAAGCCUUAUUACUGGUGCAGGCAAUCAUGAUCUAGAGAUGGAAGCUAACCAAAAUUUAGGAAAUAUCUAUAAUUAUUUAGGAGAAUAUCGCAAGGCGAUUGAAUAUCACGAAAAGAGUAUGAGCAUAGCUAAAGAGAUUGGUGA
rnacentral:lncRNA from 1 species